AACGAACGCUGGCGGCAGGCCUAACACAUGCAAGUCGAGCGCCCCGCAAGGGGAGCGGCGGACGGGUGAGUAACGCGUGGGAACGUGCCCUUUGCUACGGCAUAGCCCCGGGAAACUGGAAGUAAUAACGUAUAAGCCCUACGGGGGAAAGAUUUAUCGGCAAAGGAGCGGCCCGCGUUGGAUUAGGUAGUUGGUGGGGUAAUCGCCUACCAAGGCGACGAUCCAUAGCUGGUUUGAGAGGAUGGUCAACCACACUGGGACUGGGACACGGGCCAGACUCCUACGGGAGGCAGCAGUGGGGAAUCUUAGACAAUGGGCGCAAGCCUGAUCUAGCCAUGCCGCGUGAGCGAUGAAGGCCUUAGGGUUGUAAAGCUCUUUCGUGGGGGAAGAUAAUGACUGUACCCCAAGAAGAAGCCCCGGCUAACUCCGUGCCAGCCGCCGCAGUAAUAC
rnacentral:rRNA from 1 species